UGGGUCGUUAGCUCAGUUGGUAGAGCAGUUGACUUUUAAUCAAUUGGUCGCAGGUUCGAAUCCUGCACGACCCACCAA
rnacentral:tRNA from 37 species